AAUGAGACCUUUCAGCAUCAAGAUGCCAUGUGGUUUUAAUGAAAUCUGACAGGUACAUAUGAAUAGUUAACCCGCUUUUCAUUUUUCAGAGCUUAUUAAAAUCAUUAAAAUACAGUGAUAAUUAUGAUCCUUUCUGACUGGUGUAUUUAUAUCAAGCCCAGGGAUGUCAGUAUACGUAAAGAAGGAUUGUGUUGUGUUGCUGUUGCAGAAGUUUAGUGGUGCUUAUUUAUAAGACCUGAAUUUGAAAUUGGAGGUUUGUGAUUUUUGAUUGGCUCUUUGUUGCGUAGGAUCUGACUUGCAGCUCUCAAUGAGUUUAGCUUUUUGUUAAAUGUUUUUGGUUUUUUUUUUUUCCAAUUUGAAUUAGAAAUAUGAAGUGGUCACCUUGUAUUCAAGACUGUGCAAAGUUGUAGAAUGGCUUGGGUUGGAAGGGACCUCAAAGAUCACCUCAUUCCUCUGUCAUGUAGGCCAAACUGGUUGUUUGUUUGUGGUUGUCCCUCAAUCUUCAGAGCUCUCAAAGAAAGAUGAUGGGCUCAAAUAGAACCUCAGCAAAGAACUGAUCUUUUAAAUCGGCGCUUGGGCUCCUUGAGGUGAUAUUUGUGUUCUUUUUAUUCAACCAGCAGGGAACUCUGAGUGUUUUCUCUGUAGAACUCCAACAAAAGAAGUGAGAUUCCCAAUAAGGAGAGCUCUAACUUCAGAUUCAAUUUGUAUGCAGGUAUCAGCUUUGGUGGUGAAUUUGGAUGUGCUGCUGGUAGUUGGUGCUUGCUGAAACCGAUCCAGAACGAAGCAACAUUUUUAUAGUGAUGAAAUGACUUCAGGCUUUGUCCUUAAGGGAUGAGAGAAGCACCUCAACAAAAGAGAGCAAAUGACUAGUACAGUUGACCUUUUCAGCCUUUGGAUUCUGAGUGCAUCUGACUCGACCAGACAGGUCUGGGGAAGAGAAAAAUUAACAGCAGAUGGAUUUAUGAAAAGAGGUUCCUUUGUUGGAGAGCAUGUUGCUGUGACAGUGAUAUCUGUAGAUGAUUUGUGA
rnacentral:lncRNA from 1 species